GCUGGUACCAAUGAUGACUUGACUUUUUUCCCCAUCAGAUCGACAGUGUUGAUGGCUCUGAAUACUUGCCAGUUAGUUCUGAUAAGACCAGC
rnacentral:snoRNA from 1 species